rnacentral:tRNA from 1 species
GGAAGCGUGCCUGAACAAAAGGACUAUUUUGAUAGAAUAGACAAUAGAGGUUAUUUAACCCUCUCACUUCCU